UACGGGGGGAGCAAGCGUUGUUCGGAUUUACUGGGCGUAAAGGGCGCGUAGGCGGUCGUGACAAGUCACUUGUGAAAUCUCCGGGCUUAACUCGGAACGGUCAAGUGAUACUGUCGGACUAGAGUACAGAAGGGGCAACUGGAAUUCUCGGUGUAGCGGUGAAAUGCGUAGAUAUCUGCAGGAACACCCGUGGCGAAAGCGGCGCGCUGGACCACUACUGACGCUGAGGAACGAAAGCUAGGGGAGCAAACAGG
rnacentral:rRNA from 1 species